GGGGAAUUGGCUGAGAGGCUUAAAGCGGCAGUUUGCUAAACUGUUGAAGGGGCAACCCUUCCGCAGGUUCGAAUCCUGUGUUCCCCG
rnacentral:tRNA from 1 species